GAAAAAUGGAAUUUAUUUAAAUUGAAUAUUUUGUAUUUAAUGUUAAAAAUUCUGGGUAAAUAUUCGAAUCAAUUGACUUUUCUUUCAAUACAAACGAAAUAAUUUUGAUUUUGAAAGUAAUCACAAUAAUUUCAAAUAUUUGUGCAUUCAUACGGAGAAUAAAUAAUUUUUCUUUUAGCGUGAAUGUUUAAAUAUUUGAAAUAAAUACCUCAGCUUUUGAAUCAAAGAUAAUAUAUGUUAAAAAUAACAAUUAUACAUUGAAAAUGAAAAACUACACAUUUAUAUUAAAUGUGCAACGUUGUGUUGUCAAAAAUAAAAUUUUACUUUUGAUUUAAAAGUACUGUUUUAUGAAAUCAAAUGCAACAAGCAUUUAUUUAAUGGGUAAAAUUUAAUAUUGACAUUUUUGUUUACGUCUUAAUAUUAUCUGUAUUUAUUUCAAAUGAAAAAGACUUUUUAAACAAUUGUUUCAAAAUUUUAUUUCAAAUGAUUUUUUUUUCUAUCUAAACAUUAAAUGACCAGGUAUUAAAUUGAAUUGUGAGAAACUUUUCUGUAUAAAAUAUGCAUUUCAUUUAAAUGUAAAAAUGAAAUAACUUUGAGUAAAUAUUUGAUACGAAUGGUUUUUGUCGUUAAAUAUAAAUAACAGUGGUUUUUACAUUUACUGCAGUCGUCAUAAUUUGAAAAAUUAUUCAUUUAAAUUAGGGUGAAAAUUAAAUUCCUUUCAUCAUAAAUAUCAAUACGUUUUAAGUGAAUAACUACUUAUUCUAAUCGAAUACAAUAUGUAAAAAUAAUUACAUUUUAUUAUUUAAACUUAAACUUUAGCCAAAUGAAACAACAUGUCAUUUGCAACUAAUUUCAGAUUUUCGUAAAAACCCUAUUUUUUGUUUUCUCAAUAGCUUGGUCUCUAUGGCAUCAAUCACGCUCAAAUUUCAGUAUGUUAUAGCUGGGCCUUAGAGCUUCGACUAAAAAAAAAAAAAACGCAAAACUUCCCGGGCUAGAAUCAAAUUAUUUUUCUUUAAAUGGUUAUAGCUCUGUUUCUAACUCUCAUAAUUUGAUCAAUGAGGGCGUUUUGGUAAACUUUCGUGAAAUGCCGAUCUCCUUUUAACAUCAUAAGUUCGUAAAACUACAGCUAGGGGUGCUAUAAUUAAAAAGAAAACUUUCCAAUUUUCUAAGUUAAUUAGCUCCGGCUCUAUAGCACGGAUCGGGCUGAAAUUUUGGUAGAGGGAGCGGAUUGAGCUAAAAAUUCUUCAUGAAUCUCUCUUAAACAUGCCUAAGAAACUUACUUAUGUUAUAAAGAAUAAGGUAAAUACCAAUUAUUAAAGCAUUCUUAUUGAUUAGGUUUUUUAAAUUUUCAUUUUAAAAAAAUUGAAUGAAUUUCGCUCUAAAUCAUCCAAAAAUUUAAUAUUUGGCUGGCGUACACGCACGAACGCAAAUGCACGAGGGUCAGUGUAUUGUGUUCUUCAAAUGGCGUGAUUUGCAUAAAAUAAAUAAUAUUACUUUCUAUAUGCAUUGAUUAUAACAAUUAAUAAUUUGAAUGAAAUUUAUAUUUAUUUAGAAUGAAAAACCAAUCAAAUCUAAUACUAUUUUUUGAAUCAAUAGCAUAAGUAUUUGAAAAAAAGGAAACUACAUUCAGAUCUAUGACUGAUUCCAUCAGUACGGAAAACAUUAAAACGAGUCAGUCUUGAAGAAGCCGCUGAGUUGAAAAGUUGUCACACAAAUUAUUUCCAAUCUAUUUGAAAAUGAAAAAAAAACUAAAAAAUGGUUACAGUGGAUAAGUAAACUUAUAAAGUUGCAAAAAUCAUCAAGUGAUCGACAAAGAAAUUUGAUAAAGUGUUGGAAAUCGUUAGAUUGGGUAAGUAAAAAAAUGUUUGCCAGAAAAGUAUUAACCAUAUUCGGUAAAUUAAAUUAAAUUUAUUUCUUCUUUUAAGCUAAAAUGGAAUGUCAAACUUUUUAUUAUUUUAUUUAAAUUUAAAAUUCGUCGUAAGAAUUUUUUAUUAUUUAAUAUUUUACUAACGAUUUGUAAUUUUCGAUAUUGUUCAAGUUCAAUCGAUCAUCCUGAUUGCAAGUCAUUGUUGAUUGGAAACGUCCGUGAGCAGAAGCUGGAAAAUUAUCACCAUAUCUGUUUUAUCGAACUACUUUUCUUCAAAAAUUCCAUCUAGGAGAGACCUAAAUAGUAUCAAGGACAAUCAUUGUCUUUUCCAUGGAAUUGGAAAAGUGAUUCGCAGAUAGCAGCAGAACUCAGAGCAAACAGUAAAGGACGUAAAUCUGCAAAACACAACUUAGAAAAGUGAGCGCUGUAAUAAAAGUAGACGAGGAGCACUACCACUGAUCAAAUUUCAUUAUGUCAUCGUUUAUCUUUACGGGGCAAAAGACAAUCAGUCUUUUGAAGUAUCUUAUUUCUUCUGAAACUGGUAAACACUAUUGGGAGAAAGCAGAAGAGCAUACAUCCAAAAGCUGAGAAGAAGACUUCACGAAACUACUAGAAAGUCGUGCAACACCCCAUAGAAAUUAAUGUAAUA